rnacentral:rRNA from 1 species
UACGGAGGUGGCAAGCGUUGCUCGGAAUCACUGGGCGUAAAGGGCGCGUAGGCGGGGAGGUAAGUCGGGUGUGAAAUCCCUCGGCCCAACCGAGGAACUGCGGCCGAGACUGCUUCUCUUGAGUCCCGGAGAGGAAGAUGGAAUUCCCGGUGUAGCGGUGAAAUGUGUAGAGAUCGGGAGGAACACCGGUGGCGAAGGCGGUCUGCUGGACGGUGACUGACGCUGAGGCGCGAAAGCGUGGGGAGCAAACGGG